AUGAACUUAGUGCUGAUAGUUUUUGCAUAUCUAUGUUGUUGUAGAUCAAUGGCCCGUGCUACUGUUCCCUUGAACUUUAAUGCGUUCCUAGAGAAAGCUAAGUUGAAAGAUGAUGGCAGAAAUUACACAGACUGGGUCCGUAACUUGAGGAUUAUUCUCAUUGCUGCACAGAAGAAUUACGUCCCGGAAGCACCGUUGGGUGCAAGGCCUGCUGCAGGAGAAACUGCGGACGUUAUGAAUGUUUGGCAGACUAAAGCUGAGGACUACUCAAUAGUUCAGUGUGCCAUGCUUUACGACUUAGAAUCGGGACUUCAAAGACAUUUUGAAUGUCAUGAAGCAUAUGAGAUGUUCCGUAUUUCAAGCAAAUGCCCGAGUUGA
rnacentral:rRNA from 1 species